AAUCAACGCUGGCGGCGUGCCUCAGACAUGCAAGUCGAACGAUUAAACUUGCCUUCGGGCAAGAUAUAAAGUGGCGCACGGGUGAGUAACACGUAAGUAAUCUACCUUCGAGUGGGGAAUAACGUCCGGAACGGACGCUAAUACCGCAUAAUGCAGCGGCAUCGUAAGAUGACAGUUGUUAAAGGAGCAAUUCGCUUGAAGAGGAGCUUGCGGCAGAUUAGCUAGUUGGUAAGGUAAUGGCUUACCAAGGCUACGAUCUGUAACCGGUCUAAGAGGACGGUCGGUCACACUGACACUGAAUAACGGGUCAGACUCCUACGGGAGGCAGCAGUCGGGAAUUUUGGGCAAUGGGCGAAAGCCUGACCCAGCAACGCCGCGUGAAGGAUGAAGUAUUUCGGUAUGUAAACUUCGAAAGAAUGGGAAGAAUCAAUGACGGUACCAUUUAUAAGGUCCGGCUAACUACGUGCCAGCCGCCGCCGU
rnacentral:rRNA from 1 species